rnacentral:rRNA from 1 species
GACGAACGCUGGCGGCGUGCCUAAUACAUGCAAGUCGAGCGGACCGGAUUGGGGCUUGCCUUGAUUCGGUCAGCGGCGGACGGGUGAGUAACACGUGGGCAACCUGCCCGCAAGACCGGGAUAACUCCGGGAAACCGGAGCUAAUACCGGAUAACACCGAAGACCGCAUGGUCUUCGGUUGAAAGGCGGCCUUUGGGCUGUCACUUGCGGAUGGGCCCGCGGCGCAUUAGCUAGUUGGUGAGGUAACGGCUCACCAAGGCGGCGAUGCGUAGCCGGCCGGGGAGGGUGACCGGCCACCCUUGGACGGAGACACGGCCCAGACUCCUAGGGGAGGCAGCAGUAGGGAAUCUUCCGCAAUAGGCGAAAGCCUGACGGAGCGACGCCGCGUGAGCGAAGAAGGCCUUCGGGUCGUAAAGCUCUGUUGUGAGGGACGAAGGAGCGUCGUUCGAAGAGGGCGGCGCGGUGACGGUACCUCACGAGAAAGCCCCGGCUAACUACGUG